rnacentral:rRNA from 1 species
AUUGGACGCUGGCGGCAUGCCUUACACGUGCAAGUCGAACGGCAGCACGGGAGCAAUCCUGGUGGCGAGUGGCGAACGGGUGAGUAAAGUAUCGGAACGUGCCCAGUCGUGGGGGAUAACGUAGCGAAAGUUACGCUAAUACCGCAUACGAUCUAUGGAUGAAAGCGGGGGAUCGCAAGACCUCGCGCGAUUGGAGCGGCCGAUAUCAGAUUAGGUAGUUGGUGGGAUAAAGGCUCACCAAGCCGACGAUCUGUAGCUGGUCUGAGAGGACGACCAGCCACACUGGGACCGAGACACGGCCCAGACUCCUACGGGAGGCAGCAGUGGGGAAUUUUGGACAAUGGGCGAUAGCCUGAUCCAGCCAUGCCGCGUGCAGGAUGAAGGCCUUCGGGUUGUGAACUGCUUUUGUACGGAACGAAAAGGUUUGGCCUAAUAAGCUGAGCUCAUGACGGUACCGUAAGAAUAAGCACCGGCUAACUACGUGCCAGCAGCCGCCGUAA